AUUGAACGCUGGCGGCAGGCUUAACACAUGCAAGUCGAACGAGUGGCGGACGGGAGAGUAAUGCUUGGGAAUCUAGCUGAUGGAGGGGGAUAACUACGGGAAACUGUAGCUAAUACCGCGUAACAUAGGAGGAGCCCAAGGGGGAUUAGGUAGUUGGUGAGGUAAAGGCUCACCAAGACGACGAUCUCUAGGUGGUCUUAGAGGAUGACCAGCCACACUGUGACUGAGACACGGCCCAGCCGCCUACGGCAGGCAGCAUUGGGGAAUAUUGCGCAAUGGGGGCAACCUGACGCAGCCAUGCCGCGUGAAUGAAGAAGGCCUUCGGGUUGUAAAGUUCUUUCGGUAGCGAGGCGUUAACUACAGAAUAAGCACCGGCUAACUCCGUGCCAGCAGCCGCGGUAAUUC
rnacentral:rRNA from 1 species